rnacentral:rRNA from 1 species
AGAGUUUGAUCAUGGCUCAGGAUGAACGCUGGCGGCGUGCCUAACACAUGCAAGUCGAGCGAUUUACUCCGGUAAAGAGCGGCGGACGGGUGAGUAACGCGUGGGUAACCUGCCCUGUACACACGGAUAACAUACCGAAAGGUAUGCUAAUACGGGAUAAUAUGCUUUUAUCGCAUGGUAGAAGUAUCAAAGCUCCGGCGGUACAGGAUGGACCCGCGUCUGAUUAGCUAGUUGGUAAGGUAACGGCUUACCAAGGCGACGAUCAGUAGCCGACCUGAGAGGGUGAUCGGCCACAUUGGAACUGAGACACGGUCCAAACUCCUACGGGAGGCAGCAGUGGGGAAUAUUGCACAAUGGGCGGAAGCCUGAUGCAGCAACGCCGCGUGAGCGAUGAAGGCCUUCGGGUCGUAAAGCUCUGUCCUCAAGGAAGAUAAUGACGGUACUUGAGGAGGAGGCCCCGGCUAACUACGUGCCAGCAGCCGCGGUAAUACGUAGGGGGCUAGCGUUAUCCGGAAUUACUGGGCGUAAAGGGUGCGUAGGUGGUUUCUUAAGUCAGAGGUGAAAGGCUACGGCUCAACCGUAGUAAGCCUUUGAAACUGGGAAACUUGAGUGCAGGAGAGGAGAGUGGAAUUCCUAGUGUAGCGGUGAAAUGCGUAGAUAUUAGGAGGAACACCAGUUGCGAAGGCGGCUCUCUGGACUGUAACUGACACUGAGGCACGAAAGCGUGGGGAGCAAACAGGAUUAGAUACCCUGAUAGUCCACGCCGUAAACGAUGAGUACUAGCUGUCGGAGGUUACCCCCUUCGGUGGCGCAGCUAACGCAUUAAGUACUCCGCCUGGGAAGUACGCUCGCAAGAGUGAAACUCAAAGGAAUUGACGG